rnacentral:rRNA from 1 species
AUUGAACGCUGGCGGCAGGCUUAACACAUGCAAGUCGAGCGAGCGGCGGACGGGUGAGUAAUGUCUGGGAAACUGCCUGAUGGAGGGGGAUAACUACUGGAAACGGUCGAUAAUACCGCAUACCCUCAGAUGUGCCCAGAGGGGAAUAGCUAGUAGGUGGGGUAAUGGCUCACCUAGGCGACGACCCAUAGCUGUUCUGAGGGGAUGACCAGCCACACUGGAACUGAGACACGGUCCAGACUCCUACGGGAGGCAGCAGUGGGGAAUAUUGCACAAUGGGCGCAAGCCUGAUGCAGCCAUGCCGCGUGUGUGAAGAAGGCCUUCGGGUUGUAAAGCACUUUCAGCGGGGAGGCGUUACUCGCAGAAGAAGCACCGGCUAACUCCGUGCCAGCCGCCGCGGUAAUAC